CGGGUGGUGAAAAAUAGUAACCACCCACGGCCAUAAAUCAAACCAAAAAUGGCAGCUUAGGAGCUAGUCGGGGUUGAGCGAGGUCAGUUAAAAGACAAGACGCCGCUUAUUAAGUUGUUAUAAAUUGCAGAAAAACGAGAUACACACAAUUAAAAAUUAUAAUAAUAAACGAAUUGGCAUAAGGAGCAUUUAUUUUCGGUAAAGAAGGUUCGAGAAACAUAAAUCCGAAUAUUUAAGUAGAAAGGCACGCGAUUGGUAUGCAGAAUUGUAGAGAAACGCGACAAAUCCUGCACGCGCCCGCAGCCCUUGGUUCUUCUCUCUCUCUCUGCGCCCGAAGAAGGAGGAGCCAAGGGAGCUGAUCGGGCUAUAAAAAGGCGCCGGGCCAGAGCAGAGAGAAGCAGUCAGGUACCUUACUCCAAAAGGGAAGAAGGAGACCUCACCUGAGCCAAGCUGAGCCGGCGCCCGAGCUAGCGGAAAGCACGGCUGAGUGUUCGGUCGCUUGGCGGACGCGCAUGCACGCUGACGAGUACGUCCGAGCUGCACGCCGCUAUUGCCACCGACACACGCUUCGAGCAGCGUACCGCCGCCAACUAGCGGCUCUCUGCCGCUUGCGCGCCGACGUGGAGAUAGGUUGCCGAAACGCCGCCGACAGGUGACGAAUCGGCCGCCGAUAGGGCUGCCGAUAACCGAUCGUUUGCCGACGGCGCCGACUCAGCGUUGCCGGCGGAGCCGACUGGCCGCCGAAACGCCGACCAGGGACGACUCGGCCGCCGACAAGAUCCGAAACUGAUCGGCCGCCGACUCAGCGCCGACGACUAGAGUCGGGUCAGCUACCGUAGGCGCCAGGCCCCGACCGUGAGAUACUCACGCCGGGACACGAUCAACACGCCGUCCAGCGCCGAAGAGCGUCGCUUCCCAGCCUCACCUGCCACGGGAGUUGCCAGGCCGGCCCUAGCUUAGUUCAGGCCGCGGAUGCAGACGGAGCUCCCCUACGAACGACUCGACUCGCCCGGUCUUCAAGUAGGUCUUCACCGGAACGUCGAGCCGAGGCUAGCACCAUCUGCCCGCUUGGGAAUUGACCUCUACUGACCAAAGGGGAAGCAGACGGUCACCGGACGGAGGUAGCGGCGCCCGCCUGGCAUCGGACGGACGCGCCUACUGCCGGAGAACGAGGCUGCUGAGCGCUCCUGCCUGGACCCAGACGCCCGCUUAUCAGCGUACCAGUUACUCGUCACCGACCGACCAACGGCUCCGAAUCGGCGAGAUAUCCACGGAAAUUCACGAAUCGUUCUGUGAACUUGAGGAUAGAAAUAAAUGUUCCUGAUAGUGCCAAUGAAAAA